AGUGGCGCAAGGGUGAGUAAGGCGACGGUAACCAACCCCAUGAUUGGGUAUAGCCGCGGGAAACUGCGGGUAAUCCCCAGCGACGUCCGGGAGGGGCAUCCCUCCCAGACCAAAGUUCCGGCGUCGUGGGACGGGCUGUCGUGGUAUUAGCUUGUUGGCGGGGUAACGGCCCACCAAGGCUGUGAUGCCUACCGGGCGUGCGAGCGUGGCCCGGCACACUGGGACUGAGACACUGCCCAGACUCCUACGGGAGGCUGCAGUCGAGAAUCUUCGGCAAUGGGCGCAAGCCUGACCGAGCGACGCCGCGUGGAGGACGAAGGCCUUCGGGUUGUAAACUCCUGUCGAGGGGGAAGAAGGGGUAACACCUUGACUGAUCCCUGGAGGAAGCACGGGCUAAGUUCGUGCCAGCAGCCGCGGUAAGACGAACCGUGCGAACGUUAUUCGGAAUCACUGGGCUUAAAGCGCGUGUAGGCGGAUGGGUACGUCGGUCGCUGAAAUCCCCCGGCUUAACCGGGGAAGGGGCGCCGAAACGACCCGUCUGGAGGGACGUAGGGGGACCUGGAACUUCCGGUGGAGCGGUGAAAUGCGUUGAGAUCGGAAGGAACGCCCGUGGCGAAAGCGAGGUCCUGGACGUUUUCUGACGCUGAGACGCGAAAGCUAGGGGAGCAAACGGGAUUAGAUACCCCGGUAGUCCUAGCUGUAAACGAUGGGCACUGGGUAGGGGGCUCGCCGAUGGGCUCUCUGCCGCAGGGAAACCGUGAAGUGCCCCGCCUGGGGAGUAUGGUCGCAAGGCUGAAACUCAAAGGAAUUGACGGGGGCUCACACAAGCGGUGGAGCAUGUGGCUUAAUUCGA
rnacentral:rRNA from 1 species